CACGUAGGGGGCGAGCGUUGUCCGGAUUUAUUGGGCGUAAAGAGCUCGUAGGCGGCUCAGUUAGUCGGUUGUGAAAGUCAAGGGCUCAACCCCUUGAAUGCCGGCCGAUACUGUCAGGCUAGAGUCCGGAAGAGGCGAGUGGAAUUCCUGGUGUAGCGGUGAAAUGCGCAGAUAUCAGGAGGAACACCGAUGGCGAAGGCAGCUCGCUGGGACGGUACUGACGCUGAGACGCGAAAGCGUGGGGAGCGAACAGG
rnacentral:rRNA from 1 species